UACAGAGGUCUCAAGCGUUGUUCGGAUUCAUUGGGCGUAAAGGGUGCGUAGGUGGCGGGGCCAGUCAGGUGUGAAAUCCCGGGGCUUAACCCUGGAACUGCAUUUGAUACUGCCUUGCUGGAGAACUGGAGAGGAGACUGGAAUUUACGGUGUAGCAGUGAAAUGCGUAGAGAUCAUGAGGAAGACCAGUGGCGAAGGCGGGUCUCUGGACAGUUCCUGACGCUGAGGCACGAAGGUCAGGGGAGCAAACGGG
rnacentral:rRNA from 1 species